rnacentral:rRNA from 1 species
UGGAAUCGCUAGUAAUCGCGGAUCAGAAUGCCGCGGUGAAUACGUUCCCGGGUCUUGUACACACCGCCCGUCACACCAUGGGAGUCGGAAAUGCCCGAAGUCUGUGACCCAACCUUAGGGAGGGAGCAGCCGAAGGCAGGUCGGAUGACUGGGGUGAAGUCGUAACAAGGUAUC